GAUGAACGCUAGCGACAGGCCUAACACAUGCAAGUCGAGGGAAAGUGUAGCAAUACAUGAAACCGGCGCACGGGUGAGUAACGCGUAUGUAACCUACCUACAACAGGGGGAUAGCUUCCGGAAACGGAAAUUAACACCGCAUAAGACCACGCUCUCGCAUGGGAGUGUAGUAAAAUUUACGGAGGUUGUAGAUGGGCAUGCGUGACAUUAGCUAGUUGGUAAGGUAACGGCUUACCAAGGCGACGAUGUCUAGGGGUUCUGAGAGGAAGGUCCCCCACACUGGUACUGAGACACGGACCAGACUCCUACGGGAGGCAGCAGUGAGGAAUAUUGGUCAAUGGGCGCAAGCCUGAACCAGCCAUGUCGCGUGCAGGAUGACUGCCCUAUGGGUUGUAAACUGCUUUUGUACGGGAAGAAAAAAGGUUACGUGUAAUCUAUUGCCGGUACCGUACGAAUAAGGAUCGGCUAACUCCGUGCCAGCAGCCGCGGUAAUACGGAGGAUCCGAGCGUUAUCCGGAUUUAUUGGGUUUAAAGGGUGCGUAGGCGGGUUAUUAAGUCAGUGGUGAAAGUUUGACGCUCAACGUUAAAAUUGCCAUUGAUACUGAUAGUCUUGAGUACAGUUGAGGUAGGCGGAAUGUGGUGUGUAGCGGUGAAAUGCAUAGAUAUACCACAGAACACCGAUUGCGAAGGCAGCUUACUAAAGUGUAACUGACGCUGAUGCACGAAAGUGUGGGGAUCAAACAGGAUUAGAUACCCUGGUAGUCCACACUGUAAACGAUGAUCACUCGUUGUUUGCGAUAUACCGCAAGUGACCAAGCGAAAGCGAUAAGUGAUCCACCUGGGGAGUACGUUCGCAAGAAUGAAACUCAAGGAAUUGACGGG
rnacentral:rRNA from 1 species